rnacentral:sRNA from 1 species
AUCACAAAAAUUUAUUUUUGCCAAGUGUGCUGGUGAGUUUCAUGACAGACAGAGCCAUAUAGUGAAACAUUUUUACUCAAACAAACACAAAGUAUUCGUUUUAUUUUUAAUUAUGUAUCUUGUGGGGUUUGUGAAGAUGAGUGCAGUUGCUCUUGGAGACCAGAGAUUGGAGUCCUAGUCUUACAGGUGGAGGUACAGGUGGUUAUGGGGACAGAAUUUGGGUUCUCUGUGAGAAGAGUACAUGCUCUUGACUGUUGAGUCGUCUUUCUUAGUCCCUGGAUUUUGUUGUGUUUUUAAAAAUGUCAUCUGAUUUUUAUUCUGGUCCGUGGCUUAUUUAAAUCUGUGGGGUUUUGUUGGCGUUAGUGGGUUUGUUGUUAUUUCCAAUGCUAAAGACUGAACCAGAACCAUUCUUCUGUUAGGCAGGCUCUCUACCACUUAGCUGUGCCUCCGUCCCCGUAGUGGCCCAUUUUGAUGUCCUUUUAAGGUGUGUUAGGAAUGAUCAAAGCCAACCUUUAGUGAAUCUCUAGCUUGAUCUCAUCUUUAUGACAGUAACUAUAUACAUCCCACCCACCAUCUUGUGCUACAGAGUCUUUCUGCUUUGUAUGGUAGCACAGAUGUCCUGUAUCCUAUUGGAACUUUUAAAAUCAAAAAGAAAUUUUUGUUACACGUGCAGUUCAGGACUUCCCCACAAAGACCUGGAAUUACCCCUGUGGCACCGGCCCUCUGCUGUGUCUGUGUCAGCCUUCUUGACUUCUUAGAAUUCUGACCGAGUGCCCUGACAGUCCUUGUGGAUUCUCCUUUCCGGCACAGAGGUCUGAAAACCACCCCAUCCGUUGUCAGUCCCAUCCUCUGUGUAUUCACCGCCCACAAGACCUUUGGUUCAGAGCAAUUGAUACUUUGUUUUGGUUGCUUCUGAAGACAGGAGGAUAGACCAAGUCUCUGCUAGUCCACCGUGAGCAGAAAUCCUGUCUCAUCUGCUAUUCUGUCUUUAAAACAGCGUUUUAGUGGGAAAAUAGCCAGCCCAAAGGAAACUUAAAAGAAUUUUACUGUGUGUUUGUGUGCAAGUGUGUGAGGACACUGGGGAUCAUUCUUCAGGCCCUGUCCAUGUCCACUUCCUUUUCGAUUUUGUUGUGUUUUGUUUUUGUUUGUUUGUUUAGUUACUCACUGGCCUUGGAUCUGCCAAAUAGGAUAGGAUUGGCUGGCCAUCGAGCCUUAGGAAUUUACCUGUCUCUGCCUCCCUACCCCAGGGCUGGGCUCACAAUAGCCUAAACACUGUUCUGCCUGUGGAUUCUGCAGAUUGAACUCAGAUAAGGGAAGCGCUGUCCUGAUCGAGUUACCUACUUAGUCCCGAAAGUCUCUUUUGGUGUACCACACUGGCAAGUUGGAUUCCUUACUUCCAGAGAGGUGAAUGAACCCAUUCCAGAAGCUUCCCAUCGUGAACGACUAGAGCAACAUCCAGGGUGGUGUGCUUUCUCAAUGGUGGAGUUAAUACAGGAAAUUGGUUACCAAGAAACUCAAAGGUUGAAGGAAAGCAAGACACAACAAAGAAAAGACAGAUCACCCAUGGCUGAGAGCAGUGACCUCACCAGAGUCUGGGGGACAGAAGGGAGUUGCCCGAGCUGCCAAAGCCCAAGAAAUCAGAGCCUUAAAGGACACUCGAAGAACAUUAAAAUGCUGUGACCACUUCUAAGCAGAGACUACGGUGCCUGGCAGAGUUCUUAGAAUUUAGUGGAUUUUCAACAUAGGCUUAUAUUUAACGAAUUAAUAAUGAAAGGCUUGAUUCUUCUGACAUCUUCCUUUAUGGUAAAGACAGUGAAUGGAAAAUCAGAGCUGAAGAAGAGGAGAUGCUUUUCAACGGACCUCUCAUUUGAAGUCCAGUGAGCACACAAUCAAGCGUUGGUCUUGCCAUCUCCGUUUCCGAGACUUGCCAGGUAUUUCCUGGGCUGUCAGCUGUUAGCUGGAGUGUGUGCAGGUGGGUGCUUAGCAAGCAUUUCUCGUCCUUUCUCUUAGUUCCAACGUUUGUUUAUGUUUCCUUAUCUCUUUCAUCCAAGGUGAACCUGAACUGAGAGGCAGCAUUUAUAAAAGAGCUGCCAGCUUGCACACAGGAAUUCUCUCACAUUCGUGCUUGCCUGGUUUUCUUCACCCAAAGCACAAAGACGUGCUGUUGAACACGCGUUGUUCUUUUCUCCUUGAAUACUAGAAAGAGAGGAUUCUUGGAUAUUUACCCAAAGUUUUGUCGCACUGAGAAGACUCUGUGGAGGAGACACGGCAGGGAAGCAGUUCUGGCGUAAAGAAGUAAAAAGGUUUCCCUCUUAGCUUUAUAAUAAGUAACUUCCUUACCCCUGUCUGGAAGCUUGUACACUGUAGACAAAAAGCUGCAAAGAACAAAAGGCGACCAGUUCACUCAAUGGAGUUCUCUGUACAGGUCAAGGAAAUGCCAAACUUAACAGAUGUCUUUGACUGUGCCCUGCAGGUCGAUAAAUCCGUUUUUGUUGAACCAGGAAGAGGAAGGAAUUUCAGAACUUCAGGUCCCCAAAUGGAAAUGCCCCUUAGGACAAGUCUAAACUAGGGAAAUAGCACUGGAGAGCCUCCAAGUCAGUUGGCCCAGUCUCCUGUAACUCAUUUCUGGGCCCCCUGAAGCUGUUUGUUUAACUCUGCCUCUACAAUUGCUGUUGUGUCAAAGGGAGUUAAUCAUUAGCAAGUGUGAACACUGUUGGUAGAAAACACAGCGAUUGCAGUUCUCCAUUCUGACAUAAUUUUAACUAUUUUUCAGAAUUAAGAGAAAAGGAACACUGGGUGAAAGUAGGGUAGAAUUUGGGGAGCUGUUAAUUCACUUUCCAGCUUUGACAAUUGCCAUGGAGAGAGUCAUGUAGUUUUCUGCACAUGAUGCUCCCUUGCCCACUGCCUCAGGGUAGUUUCUUCCCUCCAUGGUCAGUUUAGGGUGGCUAAUCUCCAGAAAUCUAGAUGUCAGAAAAUGAUCUGAAGGUUCAGGUAUAGGGACCUCUGCACUGUCAGAGCCACCAAUGAUACUGGAGCAAUAAUACAGACUGAGUUAGGGCACAGAGCUCCAUAGCCUUCCUGGGCUAAUAAUCCUCCCAGGCUAAUAGUCCUCUCGGGCUGGGAAUCACAACUCUUCUAUGAAUCACACCACAGGAGCCCUGGGAUUGGGGUUGGUGCAUAAAGUAACAUUCCAGCAGCUGCAGAAGAAUAAAUACAUGAGCUGCCAGGAAUUCAGCAGCCAUCCAGGGCUGCUGCCCCAGGCUCAGAAUCCCACUACUUGACAGGCUGAGGCAAGAAGGCUGCAAGUUUAGCAUCAAUCUUGACACAUCCAGACCAUGUCUCAAAAAUUUUAAAAAGUGAAAUGAAAAUGUUGGAGAGGUUGGGGAAGCUGCAGCUGUAGCUCGGUGGUAGCAUAUCUGACUGGCAUGCAGGAAGUCCUGUGUUCAAUCCCCCGAAGCACAUACCGCAUGCAUACACACAAAGACGUAUGCAUGCUCGCACGCGCACAGGCACGGACGCAUGCACGUGUACGCUCUCCUAGAGUUAUUCAAAUGGUCUCUAGUUUGAGAAUCUCAAGGAGACACCUAAACACGUUCUCGACAGUAGCAGCCACAGCCAAGACUCCGAAGAGCCUCUGAAAACCAGUACACAUUACCACAAGACUUUGGAAAUUGUCCCAUGGAUGGACAUAGACAAACCUCACUGCUUCUGGACCGCAGCUCUUCCAAUGAUGCCCUCUCCAGCUCACUCACUGCUGCUCCUCAUCUCCUUGGGCAACUUUUACAAGUGAAGGCAGAGACACCAAAGCCCAUGUCCUAAGGUCUCCAAUUCUCUCUCUCUUCCCUUUGUAAUUCCUCCCUCAGACUCCUUUUGUUAAUAUUUAUGUUCUCAGGCUUAGUCUAGAGAUACUCUCUACUUUAAAAUGAAAAUGGAGGGGUGUAGCUCAGAGGUUGAAAACAGACCCUCAUAUUGACCCUGAUACUCCCCGCUCUGCGAGGCCUGUGUGUGGCCUGGCGAUGCAUCCAGCCCGGUCCUCCAGGUGGCCUGUGCUCUGCCUCCAAAGACUGCAUCCAUGACUCAGCUCCAGAGGCUCUGCAGACCACAGCACAGUUUCGUGUGUCACAGACCUGCACACCUUUUGGCUCCUCUACAGGGUUUUCUGUCUGGGGCACCCUUUACUCAAUGGCAAGGUUUCCAUUCUCUUUGGCUGUCCUUGGGAUACUGGUCAUUUAUUCUCACUCUCCACGUCUUCUCCUCUACCCCGCAAUUUUGAAUGAAAUGAUUCUCUUCUGGACUCCAAAGGCGCCUGCCUGUUGUGUAGUGAAGGAUUUAGCCAGCUGUAUCGGGAGCGCGUGCUCAUCCUAGAUCCUUUCAUAGAAUAUGUGUCUCAGUGCAGGCAGAGCCCACGUUAUUUCAUUCCAGUGUCCCUGAUCUUUAGCACAUUAAUAAUGAGUCAUAUAGUAGCUUGUUAAAGUGCCCAGAGCGGGUGGGCUAGGCAAGUUCUAAUGUCUGUGUUUGUGUAAAUAACUUGAUUUUAAAUGCCUGGUUAGGUGUGGUGGUUUGAAUGAGAUGUCCCCAACAAGCCACCAGCUUUGAAUACUUGGUCCAGAGUUGGUUGCUGUCUUGGAGAGGGUGAGAAGGUGUGAUCUUAAUAAAGGAAGUGUAUCACUGGGGGUGGGCUUUGAGAUUUUGAAGACCCACAUACCAUCUCUACUGAGAACUCCCGAUUUCCUUUUUGUGGUUGGGAAUGCGGGCUCUCAGCUGAUGCUGCAGCUGCCUCCUGCACACAUAGUGCACUUACAGAAUCAGGAGAGAAUGCCUCAGGACUGGCAGUGUGGUUACAGUCACUUCGCAGGAAGAACGACAUACAGACACCUAGAACUGAAUGUAUUAUUGACUUCAUUGUAUUUUCCUGGGUGUCAGUCUCCACUUGAAAUCAUUGCUCUUUAGGGAGAAGGGAUAUUUUGUUUUGAAGAUUAGUUGGAGUGAAAGAAGAGGAGAGAUGGGUGAAAUGAUGAGAAGAAAAGAACAAGUACCUAUGACAUUGAACAAGAACAUUAUAAACCAGACCUGAUGACACAGAAAUAAGUCAUAGGGGAUGCUCCCCCUAUCAUGAAAUUGAUUUGUGCUUUUAGUAUUGUGGAGCAAAGAGACAGCUGAGGUUUACUCUGAAAUCAAUUUAUUAUUAUUAGCUUUUAAUUCUGGAGAAAUUUGGUAAUGGAAGGAUUUCUCUUCUUACACUUGAAGAGGAUAUUUGAGAGCCUUUUUAUGAGUAUCUCUUAAUAGGGUGCCAUCACUUGGGUCAGGAGGAAGAGAAACAAAUGUCCCCACUGGCCUUUCCUUUUAUGGAAACAGGCAUGUGUGGCUCAUUUCAACAUGUCAGUUGUACAUCUGGUAGCUCUAGAAGCUGAAUUCCAUGUCUAAUUCCUGGGAGAACACUGGGAAGGAGCAAUGAAAUGGAGAGACUAACUUCCAAGCACAGGUUUCAAAGAAGCAGUGCACACUGGGAAGUUGAAAUUGUUCAUUUACAGAAGGCACAGCAAGGUGGCCUGCAAAUGUAAGUGCUCCUCUGCAUUGUGUCUCUUUAAGAGAGUUAUUUUAUUCUGUGUAUAUGUGCCUGCAUGAGCUUAUAUGUAUCACAUGCUUUUGGGUGCUGCAGAAGCUAGGUGAGGAUUAUAGAGACUCUAGAGCUGUAGUUAAUCGAGGAUUGCGAGCUGUCCAGUGUGGGUGCUGGGAACCAGUCCCUGGUCCUAUACAAGAGCAGUGGGUGCUUGUAGCCACUGUGCUAUCCUGCCUCUGUUUUUGUUUUUGUUGUUUUUUGUUUGUUUGUUUGUUUGUUUGAGGCGGAGUUUCUUUGUAUAACCCAGGCUGGCCUUGAUUGAACUCCUGGUGAUUCUCCUUCCUCAAUCUCCUCCUGAGUUCCAGUAUUAAAGGCAUUAUCAUAGUUGGGCUUUUUUUUUUUUUUUUUUUUUUAAGGUUUACUAGAUGAUACCACUAAGAACAAGAUGAGAACACAUGGGUCUGGAUAGUCAAAUAAAGGUUGUAGAUCUACAUUUUUGAGGGAAGCUUACUGAUCUAGGCUUGAAGAGGGGUGUGGUGGUUUGAAUAUGCUUGGCCCAGGCAUUGGCACUAUUAGGAAGUGUGACUUUAUUGAAGGAAGUGUGUCACCGAGAGGGUGGGCUUUUAAACCCUCCUCCUGGCUUCCUGGAUGACAGCUUCCGCUAUGGAACAAGAUGUAGA